GGGCUUGUAGCUCAGACCGGCCAGAGCGCUCCGUUCGCAACGGAGAGGCCCCGGGUUCAAAUCCCGGCAAGUCCA
rnacentral:tRNA from 1 species